GCCCGGCUAGCUCCGUCGGUAGAGCAUCAGACUUUUAAUCUGAGGGUCAGGGGUUCGAGUCCCAUGUUGGGCG
rnacentral:tRNA from 1 species